GGCUUCGUGGUUGUGUGGUAAGGACACUUGCCUCUCACACUGAAGUCCCGGGUUCGAUCCCCGGUCGAGGAGCUA
rnacentral:tRNA from 1 species